UGGGGGGCACCCUGAUCCAGCCAUGCCGCGUGUGUGAAGAAGGCCUUUUGGUUGUAAAGCACUUUAAGCAGUGAAGAAGACUCCAUGGUUAAUACCCAUGGACGAUGACAUUAGCUGCAGAAUAAGCACCGGCUAACUCUGUGCCAGCAGCCGCGGUAAUACAGAGGGUGCAAGCGUUAAUCGGAAUUACUGGGCGUAAAGCGAGCGUAGGUGGCUUGAUAAGUCAGAUGUGAAAGCCCCGGGCUUAACCUGGGAACGGCAUCUGAUACUGUUAGGCUAGAGUAGGUGAGAGGAAGGUAGAAUUCCAGGUGUAGCGGUGAAAUGCGUAGAGAUCUGGAGGAAUACCGAUGGCGAAGGCAGCCUUCUGGCAUCAUACUGACACUGAGGUUCGAAAGCGUGGGUAGCAAACAGGAUUAGAUACCCUGGUAGUCCACGCCGUAAACGAUGUCUACUAGUCGUUGGGUCCCUUGAGGACUUAGUGACGCAGCUAACGCAAUAAGUAGACCGCCUGGGGAGUACGGCCGCAAGGUUAAAACUCAAAUGAAUUGACGGGGGCCCGCACAAGCGGUGGAGCAUGUGGUUUAAUUCGAUGCAACGCGAAGAACCUUACCUGGUCUUGACAUAUCUAGAAUCCUGCAGAGAUGCGGGAGUGCCUUCGGGAAUUAGAAUACAGGUGCUGCAUGGCUGUCGUCAGCUCGUGUCGUGAGAUGUUGGGUUAAGUCCCGCAACGAGCGCAACCCUUGUCCUUAGUUACCAGCGGUUUGGCCGGGAACUCUAAGGAUACUGCCAGUGACAAACUGGAGGAAGGCGGGGACGACGUCAAGUCAUCAUGGCCCUUA
rnacentral:rRNA from 1 species